GACGAACGCUGGCGGCGUGCUUAACACAUGCAAGUCGAGCGGUAAGGCCCUUUCGGGGGUACACGAGCGGCGAACGGGUGAGUAACACGUGGGUGACCUGCCCUCAGCUCUGGGAUAAGCCUGGGAAACCGGGUCUAAUACUGGAUAUGACUCCAUGACGCAUGUUGUGGGGUGGAAAGCCUUGUGCGGCUGAGGAUGGGCCCGCGGCCUAUCAGCUUGUUGGUGGGGNGAUGGCCUACCAAGGCGACGACGGGUAGCCGGCCUGAGAGGGCGACCGGCCACACUGGGACUGAGACACGGGCCCAGACUCCUACGGGAGGCAGCAGUGGGGAAUCUUGCGCAAUGGGCGAAAGCCUGACGCAGCGACG
rnacentral:rRNA from 1 species